GCUCUCCGCCUUGCACUGGGCGGCGCAGGGAGCGCUGCAGUCGCGCCAAGCGCAGGGGGGCUGAGCGCACCUCUCCGUGCAUCGUCCCUUUCCCGGGUGGCGGGGGCAGCUCCCCGCCCUGGGGGACAGGCCCGGACGGAGGCUCUGCAUGUCCGAAGCCCUGGCUGCCGCAGUCCGGAGCAGUGCACCAGAUACUAACCCUUUGCCUCCCAGUUUCUUAUCCCCACCCUCCCGGGGCGGUGAUUGGCGUGAGCAGCUGGGGCUUGCCCAGGACGGGGCCGCGGGGACGGAGGAAGCAGCCAGCCUGGCCUGGGAGCAGAGCCGGGGAAGGGUGAGGAGGAUCCGCGUGUGCCUGGCUGCCCGCGGGAGCCGGCAUGGGGCAUUGCUGAGCGCCUCGGGGGAGCCAUGCUGUCCAGGAAAGGGAUCAUCCCCGAGGAGUAUGUGCUGACCCGCCUCGCCGAGGAUGUCCAGGAGCACUCCCGCUACCGCGCCCGGGAGCGGCGGGCCAGGUUCGUGGGGAAGAACGGCACCUGCAACGUGGCCCACAAGAACAUCCGCGAGCAGGGCCGCUUCCUGCAGGACGUCUUCACCACCCUGGUGGACCUCAAGUGGCCGCACACGCUGAUCAUCUUCACCAUGACCUUCCUGUGCAGCUGGCUGCUCUUUGGCAUGACCUGGUGGCUGAUUGCCUUCGCCCACGGGGACCUGGACCACAGCACCCAGCUGCAGGCAGGAGGUAGCCAUGGGGUUGGGGAGGAGGCUGAGGGGUUCAUGCCCUGCGUGACCAGCAUCCACUCCUUCACCUCCGCCUUCCUCUUCUCCAUCGAGGUGCAGGUGACCAUCGGCUUCGGGGGCCGCAUGGUGACCGAGGAGUGCCCGGCUGCCAUCCUGGUGCUGAUCGUGCAGAACAUCGUGGGGCUAGUGAUCAACGCCAUCAUGCUGGGCUGCAUCUUCAUGAAGACAGCUCAGGCGAACCGCCGUGCCGAGACCCUCAUCUUCAGCAAGCAUGCAGUGAUCGCCCUGCGGGACGGCAGGCUCUGCUUCAUGCUGCGGGUGGGUGACCUGCGCAAGAGCAUGAUCAUCAGUGCCACCAUCCGCAUGCAGGUGGUGAAGAAGACCACCAGCCUGGAGGGCGAGGUGGUGCCCCUCAACCAGAUAGACAUCCAGAUGGAGAACCCGGUGGGGGGCAGCAACAUCUUCCUGGUUUCCCCGCUCCUCAUCUACCAUGUGAUAGACAAGAACAGCCCACUCUACGACAUCUCCCCCCUACACCUCCACCACCACGAGGACCUAGAAGUCAUUGUCAUCUUGGAAGGGGUGGUGGAGACCACUGGCAUCACCACCCAAGCCAGGACCUCCUAUCUGGCCGAUGAAAUCCUCUGGGGCCAAAGGUUUGUGCCCAUCGUGGCAGAGGAAGAUGGCAGGUACUCAGUGGACUACUCUAAGUUUGGCAACACGGUGAAAGUGCCCACCCCUUCUUGCACUGCCAGACAGCUGGAGGAAGACAGGAGCAUCAUAGACUCCAUCCCAUUGUCACCUAAAAGCACCAGUAGGAAGAGGUCUUUCAGGUUGAAGCCCAAAUUUACCAUAACUGAUGAGCCUUCCUGACACCGUUUUAGAGGAAAGAGGCAAUAAACAAGAACACUGAGAUAGCCUCUUAUUUUUCUUAGCCAGGUUGGUAGCACAAGGAUUUGGCCUACAUGAGAAGCAAUUUAAGCAACGCUACCAUGCAAGUGCCCAUGAUUCUUCUUCCCUCAAGGGAAUCUGUAUUAUUCAAGGUACACGGAGUCUCUUUGUUUUCUGUGAGAUGAGGAGGGCGAAGCUGGGAGGAGGAGCUUGCUGUUAGUGAACUGUUUUCAGGACCAUCUUUUGUGUAUCUUUGCAAGAAACCUCCUAGUUUUCUUCAGUGUUGGAGUAACAGAUGCCAAAGAAAGGAAUCUCAAAGAUGAGAAUGAAAAAGAAAGAAAUCACAAAAUAAUGGUUUCUGUGGCUUUAACCAAGAUUUUCAUGAAGUUAACCAAGACUUUCAUAAAUCUGUUUUCAGUCUUUUAUUUUUCUCAGUUUACAUUCUCCUGUUCUUUAGAGGUUUUAAACACACAAAAAAGAAAUUUCAGAGUCAAAAGUCAUGAGGAAAGAGGUUAAAUGUUUA